GACGUAGGGCGCGAGCGUGUCCGGAUUUAUUGGGCGUAAAGAGCUCGUAGGCGGCUCGUUGCGUCGGCUGUGAAAACCCGCAGCUCAACUGUGGGCUUGCAGCCGAUACGGGCGGGCUAGGAUUCGGUAGGGGAGACGUGGAAUUCCUGGUGUAGCGGUGAAAAUGCGCAGAUAUCAGGAGGAACACCGGUGGCGAAGGCGGGUCUCUGGGCCGAUAUCGACGCUGAGACGCGAAAGCGUGGGGGAGCAAACAGG
rnacentral:rRNA from 1 species